AGGUGCUGCCGGUUCAGUGGGGCGGACUCAAUCCGGAAUGGAGCAGGCAGCCCCCGGUGGAAAACAGUGACAUGUUACAAAAGCAAAACACCAUUUUAAAGCCCCAAAUAAAAUCGUAAAUCACUUGUGUUAAAAGAGGCACCAGGGCCACUGUGUAAACUGAGGUACAGUUAAAUAUUUAUAGUUUAAAGGAUUAUUUUGUCUAUGUUAGAAGAAACAUCAAGUUCACUUGGUUCAGGGCUCUGUCUACACAGAAAUACAGGCACAACAAUGCCCUGCAGAAGAACUGGAGGGUUUGGAUCAUGGCAGUAGCUCCCCAAAUUUAUUUUCGUUUUUUUAAAUGUGUGUGUGUAGAGGGAGGAGGAGGUGGGGAGAGGAAUAUAUAACUGAACAGCAGAAAACACCUUUCUGGAAACAAAGGCAAGGAGCAGCAUUUCAAUUGCAAAUGCAUCAGCUAGAGACCAAAUAACAGUUGUGGGAAGACACUCAUAAAAUUAAUGUACCUUACUUAAAAAAAAAUCAAAUGCUUACUACAGUUACCUCGGUGCAGCUUAAUAAAAAAUUAGCCUUACUGACAGUCUUGUCAACAUCUUAAGUAAAUUAUCAUAGCGCUGGUCUUUGGAGAAGAGACCCUACACUUCUUGCUAAAACACCUCCUAUCAUUAAUCUUAAACCACUUGAAGAUUAUGAUGGAAAGAAUGGGAUCACUAGCCAUUAUCAUCUCAAAUUGCUGUUAAAAAGUCCGCUGUUUAUUUUUUGCAACCAAAGCAAAUGUAUCUGGGAAAUGCAGAAGAGGGAAGAAAGGAAAACACAAGAAAGGCAGAACAAUUGAGGCGAAUCCUGUUGCAACCCCGAUGAUAAACACAUGGAAAAAGCUGUUACUGCUCUUUGGAUUGCUGGAAUUUGGGCAGACGUUAGAAAAAUAAACAAAGCGAUGGCUCCACAUCAGCUCUGUAAAUGCAAUGAUACAGUCAAUGGAAGGGAUUCGAACGGAAACUUCUGCCUUAAGCCCAGGUACGUGUAGCACAGACAGAGAGCUCCACCGCCUGCUCCCCCGCAUUGCCCCAGCAGUGACCUCAGCCCGGAGAUGCAGAGAGGAAGUAAAACGUUCAUUUUAAACAUUAGUAAGCGGUUUCUUGAUUAGUGGUGGAAUGAAUUUCAGGAGUGGAGCUAAUAGAGCUCGGAGUGAGGAAGAAAUGAUCGUGUACGGUAGCAGCAAUAUUUCCCGGAGAAAUCAAACAGACCCGCAGCUCAGGUAAGCUGCUACACGAAACUAUUUUUAACUGAACAAAAGACUGGGCAAACAACAUCUGACGUCAGUGGCCAGCAUCCUCAGCUAGUGAAGGAGAGAUACUUAAAGUGGACGACGAGCUUAUCUCACAGAACCUUUCUUCUGACCCCCUCCGCCUCCCCACCCCAAAAUGCAUAAAGGAGGCAAAGCUCACUCAGCAUCGUAGAUCCUAUAGAUGCAGAGGUUCUUAUGAAGCACCUCUUGGUUGAUCCCGCCUGUGUUAAAGAGCAGCCUCAUAGCCUAAGGGGGGGGGGGUGGAUUGUAAACCGCGGAGAUGGGAACUACAGAAGCGAGGCUAAGGAGACUUGAGGGAGGUAAGGGUUAAGAGGUGAUGUAAAGGACAGGUGUAGCAAAAAGCUCUGUUGCGAAGUGACAGCUGUUACCAAAAAUAUUUUGCAACUUUUGGGACUGUCAAGUGUGGAAGUUCCUUUAGCCCACAAGCCUUUUCUCUAUGUAUCUGCAAAGGAUCCGAAUCCCUAAUGAGCUGCAUUCAUUGUUAAGGGUAGGUCUAGUUCUGCGCCUGGUUUAUCUCUAACACACACAUCUGCUCGGGAGACAAAGGCAAGUGUAUUUAUACUGCCCCUCUCAGGAGCUCCCUGAGUGAGUACCUUGCUCGCGACCGCAGACUGGAGUAAACAGAAGAGACGUUCCAAGUUUAGCGAUCAGAACAAGGCUUGGAGGCGCUUGAUUUAUUGUGAGCCCUAUUCGCAAGCGCUGUAAAGGCGAGUGGUCAUUAUUUCCUAAUAAACAAUUCCCUUCAUACCGAGCUGUGCUGACUGAGUGAGUGACUCACUCCUCUGUCCUGCCUGGAAGGAAGGAUUGACCCCCGCGGCUUUCUAAUACUGUAAACUUUGGAAAUCUCCUCACACUGUUUGAAACGAUCAUCGCUCGCUCUUUCUGUUGUGCAGGCGGCCUGAGGGCUGAAUGGGUUUCCUGAAGCACCCGACUGGGGUGCUAAGGGAUCUCGAAAGGUUAGGUUUUCCUAGCUGCUGCCCAUAGUCUGCCACGCCUUGCAAGGAAGCCUGACGUCUGGGUAGGGACGGAGUGAUCAGGGGCUGGGGGCUCUUUGCCAAGGAGGUUGGAGUGGGGUGAACGCAACUGCACGCGGUCAUUGCAGGCAUGAAACCUUGCAAGCUCUGGGCGAAUUCUCCUUGCCUCCUCCCCCUGGUCUUCCUGCGUCUCCUCCGCCUAUGCAGCCAGAGUCAACAAGGGGCCGCGAUUCGUGUGGCUGAGUUAGUUAAAAUAAAUAAACCCACGAAGAUUCACUGGCGAGCAAUGCCGCAUCGACCCGAAGGUUUAUUAAGAAGCGAGGCUGCUCCAAUCCCUCUUAAAAGCGUGAGGGCUGCAGCCAAGCAGAAGUCAAGUCACACUUGUUAUUCAAUUCAAACUUCCUCUUGCCCUGCCCUGGCCGUGCGAUCCCGGGAAAGCUCACACACCAAAGCCAUUGGCGAUCGCUACCCACCGCUGCUCAGCCCUUUGCCACCCGCCACAGAGCAGAGUGGGGAAAGGAGCUGGCACAGCGAGCCAAAGCAAACACAGCGAGCCUACGGGACACGUUGGGAGAUGGCAUCAAACCCGCUCAGCUUGUUCAUCUUUUCCCUCCGCGCCGAUCUGAACAAAGAUGCAAGGAGAGGGUCUGCCACAAAGUCCCUUUUCUUUCCUAUUGGCAAUGGGGAUUGUUAACCCAAAUAAAAAUCCUUAUAGCUGUCUCCUGGUGAAGAUGCAAUUGCUGUUAUUGCCAAUCACGAUUAGCAAUAAUUAGCCCAAAGGCAUGAAGGAUUCAGCUGCCAAGUUAUUCUGAAUAACCUGUUUGGAACAGGCAACAAAACAUUAGGUCCAAAGACAAACUAACUGCAAACUUCUAGUAACAGAGCUCUUCAAAGAGGAUCAGAUUCCAAGUAAGAUCCUAACUCCUGGCUCCUCAUGCUACGUUUUCUCUCAAGUAUCUUACGCCUCCAUUAUUAUUUUUUCUUACAUCCUGUAUUUCCCCCACAAAGGUCUCUGCAAGCAUGAAGUAGCAACUAAGCAUCUUCUCCAAACAUCUUUACUUGUUUACUCAGCUCUCUCCAUUUUAAAUACAAAUUAAACAAACUGGAGGGAUAAUGCAGUCCCAGAGCCAAGCCAGAGUUGCUCUGUUUAUACUCUGAAACUCAUCCUUAGGCCCUCUGAAUUGGGAAAGUUUAAAUGAAGUGUAACUAGAAGGAGGUCACAGGUGACUGACAAGUUCAAGCUACUUAUCUCAAUUAUCAAAUAGUUUUAUUUCCAAAUUGUGUUCAAUUUGAUUUUCCUGCCUCACCACAAAUUAGCUUAGAAAAAAAUCAAAUGAAAGCAGACAAUUUAAGCCAAAUCCUGUAAACCAUUAUUUAUUUGUAAAAUCAUUUUUGUGAUAUAUACUCCCAUUAAUGGUUAUGCAGUUGCCAAAUCUUUCCAAGUGGAUUUUGAAAUGUAGCCAUCAAAUUAUUUCAAAGGCAGGACUAUUAGGAACAAAAAUAAUUAUGAACUUUCAGAAGCAUUAUAAAAAAUGAGUUUCUGAAUGUUGUCUCUUUAAAUUUCACUUAAAUUUUGGUUUCAUUUAAGCCUUGAGGCACAGUAGAGAGCUAUUCAGUGUCUAACAAGGAGUUUGGAAAAUAAUGCUCAGUACCAGAAUAGAGCACAAUUUCUCCAUAAAAUAUGGAUAAGGAAUCAAUUCAUAAACACAAAUACCCACUAGAACUGAGUUUUAAUAUAGCAUUUCAUAUGAACAUUAUUAUAUGCAUUAUUUAGGAGAUAACAAAAGCUCUUCAAAUCAAGGCUUAUACAGUCACAUCUGGUUUUUUUCCCCUUCUAAUUUUCAUUUUUUAGAGAAAAUAUUAGGAAAAAAAACUACACUUCCCCCUGUUACCAUAUAUAUUAACUGUUACCAUCAGCUUUUAAUCAGCAACAUGUAUAUUGCCUUAGAUUUACAGAAUCCAUUCCAUGUUGCUUCUUUCAGAGGACAGUGAAAUGAGGAUACUAUCUUUAUUCAGUUGUAAGAUUUGAUGUUAAAAAACAAAAGCACAAACACACUUGUCUUACCAUUUGUUUUAAGUAUAUAUAAGUACACACACAUUGAAACUGAAAUAAUGAACUUUAGAUGACAUUAUUUGAGCAAUCAGACAAAUCAUAACACAGACCUCUCCAAAUAAGAAGUGGUUAGAGUGAAUUCACCUACAUUAGACCCAGAGUUAUCCCUAACCAAAGGUAUUCUACUUGGGAUAUUUAGUAAAUUUUGCUGUGUAAAGUCCUAUCCCUGCACUGUCAGUACAAAUUCUUUAGGCCCUCCAGUCUAAAUAAGAUAUCUCCAGUAACCAGGGAAAGAUAAAAAACCUACUCUUAGGUUUCAGAUAGUUUGCUAUAAUUCUUUUGCUAACCCCAUUUUUUUAAUAAUACGAUUACUCUAUAAUCUAGGUGAAAGGAUAAAUAUUGAAGAAGCCUCCUUUGUGAGCCAUAUUUUUUUCCAGUGUACACCAACACAGCUUUGUCCUUUGGAUGAAAAGGCAGACAAAGUGUUUUCAAAAUAGAAACACCUAGGAUUAUUUUGAAAAACAUAAGCAGUUUUUUAAAACACUCUGGAGUUUUCUGAACAACUCUGAUGUACUCACAUUCUUAUCACAACUAUUUUUUUUUUUACAAUUGUAAGUGGAUAUUCAAGCUAAAUUGAUGCUUUAUGUAUAUCCUGUCUCAAUUUGUAAAACUAUUCUCUGGAAGGAGAUAAUUUGAAAAAAAAAAAUACAAAAAAGAAGAAACGAUACCACUGACAACAAUUUACUUAAAUUCUCAAACCUUGAAAUUGAUGCAUCUCCUAUCAAUCAUAGUCAGAAGAUACGGUAAAACACAUCCAACAUUUGUAUAUCAAAAGUGGGACUAAAAAAACCUGUUUUGUUCAAUUUAAACAUCCUUCACCGUGUUGUAGUUUUAUAUGCUGAUAUUGAUGUGUGCACUUAUUACAAGUUAGAUUUCUCCUUUCAAACAUCCGUAAGGUAUUAACCUCACAAAAUUAAAGUACAUGCCAUUCUACUGUACAGAUGUUUGUUCUCACUGGCUUACUGACAAUGAAAUAUUUAUUAAAUAGUAAUAAGGAGAUAUUGACUUCUCUAUUCUGUCAAUAUGAAGAUUUGUUGAUCUGUGAGGUUAAUAUUGAUGAGGCAGAGUGAGGUAAACAUUUGGUCAGGAGGGUAAAUAAAUUCUGAUAUUGACAUAAAUAAAACUUAGUACUAAUAUGAAAA